UCAUUCUGGUUUCCCUUCAAUGACGUAUAAAUCUUUCGCCUUUUACUAAAGAUUUCCGUGGAGGGGAACGAUUGAUGAAGUCUAUAGAUAGAAUUUUUUGUACGACCUGGCGCAAGCUAGGUCA